rnacentral:lncRNA from 1 species
CGGAUCCUCGUGACCGUACUGCUAGUCGUAGCAACACAAACAAACAUGGUAUGGACAAAAUUAGCAUCACACCACAGGUACGAACAAAAUGUAUAACAAUGAUCUACGUGAAGCUACGAGAUCGCGGGACGGGAACCACUAAAAUCAGAGUUACGGUUAAGGAGUUAUGAUUUUAUAGAAGAUUUAUGUGAUUAAAAUAUUCAAGUAUAUUAUAAAUUGGUUAGUAUAAAUCAUAUGAGAGGUUAUUCUAUAAAUACUUAUCUCAACUUCAUUCUAAGUCAUUAUUUGAUUAAAGAUCAUUUAGUCAAAUUAUAAUCAUAAAAUCAUAGGUUAAUCCAAUAGACAUAGGUUAAUCCAAUUAUAAAAGUACGGGAUAUCAUAUAAUAAAUGCUGCCAUUGUGUAAUAUAUAUUUAUACGAAGAUAACGCAACUGGAACGAGUCAAAUCGGAUUUAAAACGGGGAAAGUAUAAGUUUCUGAAGGUUUUAUGUAUUUGAUACAAGAUUAAUUAGGAAAUAAAUUUUAAAUUGGCUUUCAUGUCAAAACAGUGGUACUAAAUAAUAAACAAUAAUAUUAUAGAAUUAUAGGAACUGGAAUGAACUAAUUUGAACUUAAUAUGAAUUUUCUAGGAAUUAUACAAGUUCUAGCAAUUAAUUUGGUAUUAAAAAUCAUUUUCUAACUUUAGUUUCCCUGUUUUAUUAACUGUUUGGACUGCGCGCCAAAUACCAGAAAAACCAGGGGCUACGGAGCAAGAAUCCCUAAGACUCAUUACCCUGUCGCAAGGGACGGAGGAUUACUACUAACAAAAUAAAGGGGCCCUUCUGUAAACUGGCUUCGAUGAAGGGGUACCGUGGGUCUCCAGCCGCUGGAUCUACAUUCCUCGGUGGAGAUUAGAUCGAGUCUCACCAAACCGGUAUACAAUCCUACUCAUCCGAUGAAAACCCAAUGGCCAGGAUUUUAUUUCGAGCGGAUGAACGCCGACCGCCCGAUCGUGGAUAGAGGAACCAGAUCAAAACGCCGAAACGUUAUUGCGCAUCUAAUUGCAGCCGUCCACAUCCAAUCGCACGGUCAGGCGCUCUUCUACCUGCUGGCUAAGCACGGCGGCGCCCAUAGCCCGUGCGGUGGCUCCUAGUUCAGACGGUGGAGAGAUGGCUGGGGUUCGUCAUCUCCGUGCACAAGCACCCAGGCGCCGAUUCCCUAGCGCUACACGUAAAGCGGAAAAAGGAGACCUCGAUUGAUGGCUCGUUACCGGAUUUCACAGUGUGGAGGUCCCUGGCCACGACGGUGUGCGGCAACACGGUGGAGUGACGGCGCCAGCAAACACCCCCAGGUGCUCCAGCGACGACCCGCGACCCUCGAACCGGCAUAACAAACGUGGAGCACGCCAUGAAUACGAUAGGGAAAUAGGCGUACCGUGGGGAUGAGGAGGUCGACGCCGAUGAUGUCACUGCGCCAUCGGACGCGGGCGGGACACGAUCCGCGCAGUUGAACAGACAAUCACCGGGGUUCCUCUACGCACGUAGGCCACCAACGGCUUGUUGCCCAUGGAUUGUCCUCAACCACCCCUCGGCACAAGAACGCUGCGACACGGUGACGGCGGCGGUCAUGGAAUACCUCUCCCCCUCUCACACUGGCGUUGGUCUGCUACACGAUUCUUGGGUGGUUGCAAGCAGAGAGAGAGGCGGCGCUCUAGGCCCUAUAUAGCCCCGAGCGAGCCGGAUCCCGGAAGCCGAUGACAAAGACCCGCUCGGUUCGGCCCGGACGCUACGGACGCCUUCUGUUUU